GACGAACGCUGGCGGCGUGCCUAAUACAUGCAAGUCGAGCGGACUUUCAAGAAGCUUGCUUUUUGAAAGUUAGCGGCGGACGGGUGAGUAACACGUGGGCAACCUGCCUGCAAGACGGGGAUAACUCCGGGAAACCGGGGCUAAUACCGGAUAAUAUCUUCCUUCGCAUGAAGGAAGGUUGAAAGGCGGCGCAAGCUGCCGCUUGCAGAUGGGCCCGCGGCGCAUUAGCUAGUUGGUGAGGUAACGGCUCACCAAGGCGACGAUGCGUAGCCGACCUGAGAGGGUGAUCGGCCACACUGGGACUGAGACACGGCCCAGACUCCUGCGGGAGGCAGCAGUAGGGAAUCUUCCGCAAUGGACGAAAGUCUGACGGAGCAACGCCGCGUGAGCGAAGAAGGUCUUCGGAUCGUAAAGCUCUGUUGUCAGGGAAGAACAAGUACCGUUCGAACAGGGCGGUACCUUGACGGUACCUGACCAGAAAGCCACGGCUAACUACGUG
rnacentral:rRNA from 1 species